AUGCAACAAACACACCUCUGGAUGCAAAAUCAGAGGCUUCCACAUGCUUCUAUUAACAGAACACAAAGGAAUGCCCUGAAUAUUCCAGUGAGUGCAACUAUGUAUGGUAUCUUCAAUAAUCAAGGCAAUACACAGGCAAACUUGCCUGUGAACCUGGGUGCACAUACUUCAGUGGGUGAGUACAACCAAGUGUCUGCUGUGCUCCAACCCCCUGCAAACAAGGUCGCUUAUGAAGCCCCUAUGUCAUACAUGCAACUCCUACUUGCUGCUGAAGAAGAGGGUGCUAGAAAUGCAUCAUCUCGAUAA
rnacentral:rRNA from 1 species